ensembl:lncRNA
GGUGGUCAGACUGAGUAAACAGGCACUAAGUCAGAGGUUGGGCUCUCCGUUUCGCUGCAGGAUCCCUUCAUUCAUGCAAUUUAUGCAGUUUAUUAAAGUGCAAUUGGAAAAAGGAUUUUGAAAUGCAGUUUUUAAAAGCAUUUCAAAAAUCAGUUUAUUAAAUGGGAAUUCAAAAAUGAAUUUACAAAUGCAGAAUUUAUUCUAUAAUUCAUUACUUAAGCACAGAAUUCUUUAUUUCGAUGCGCGUGGCUCUUGUGGUCCUCCAUACAGGAGUGAGAACGUGUUGGCAUUUGGGUCCUCCUUCCCCUCAUCAUAGUCUGCCACGCAGGCCGUGACAGAAAAGCCCACUAAAAGAACGCCCACCAGACCAAAGCAAUGGUUUUGACUUGAUCAGCAUUAACCCCGCCCCCUGACUUUGAUGGGUGAAGCUGACAAAUAAAAUGUAUUUAUGAACAGCGAUGCAGGGCCAGGAGUAGCAACGUGAAUUAAAUAAAUACAUCAUUAAAUAAUUCAUUAAAUGUGUCAGUAAAAUAAUCAAAAUAGAAAACAAACCAAUAAUUGAUUAAAUAUGUAAUUAACUAAUUUGAAUUGUAUAUAAACAAAUAUUGAAAAAUUUUAAAUGAAAUUAAUGGAUAAUUCAUUAUUAAUAUAUAUCUUUAAUUGAUUAUGUAGAUUUUUUAAAUUAAUUACUGAAAUAGUUCAUUCAUUAGUGAUGCAUUUAUUUAAUGCAACCAUAAAAUUAUUGCUAGUUUAAGUAAAAUCAAUUUAAGACAUCAAUAUUAAAGGUUAACUUAUGAUAAUGAAUACAUGCAACUAUAACUGAUGACAUAAAAAUGAGGAUUUCUUAAGCUGAAGCCAAAGUGCUGACUCAUUUGUCAUGUUACUCUCAAAUGUUUUCCCUAAUAACAAGAACAUAAUUACACUUUAGCCACAAGAGGGCAGCAGCAUUAAUAUAAGUCACAUGUAUAUAAAGGUACAGUGAUUAUAUUACAGUGAUUUUGACAAAAACAAAACAGUUGAUGGCAGUGUGUUUUUCCAUGACAGAAUAAUUACGCACACCCCACUUUGCAGUUAUUUAUUUGUAAAAAAUGUUUGGAAUCAUGUAUGAUUUCCGUUCCACUUUGUGUUGGUCUUUCACGUGGAAUUCCAAUAAAACUGAUUCAUGUUUGUGCUGUAAUGUGACAAAAUGUGGGAAAGUUCAAGGGGGCCAACACUCGGACCGGCGGCCGCCUCGGGUCUCUGCUCCUCCCGCCUCCCCUUUCCCUCAUCCACCUGCUGCCUCUGUGGAAGCUCCGCCAUAGCCACCACCAAACAACUGAGUUAUUUCUACACAUCGACCAGCAUCCGGCCAAUCCACCACCUUCCAUCGUUUAUACCGUUACAAAAAAAAAAAAUCAUAAAAAAACAUCAUCAGCCCAUAAAAAUGAAAAAUCACCAUCAGUAUGCCCGAUGGCCAGUCCAGCUAUGGUCGUGCCAUCAGUUAACCCUUCGCUUGCCAGCUGUGACACGCGUGCCCAGGGUUGCCGACCCUUGCUCUAAAGCAUCUGAUUUGGAUUCCUGAGAUCAAAUAUAUUUUCCUUUGUGUUUGUUUUCUUCCCAUUUGUGGCUUUAAUGUAGUGUUACAUCCUGUUUGUUUGCUUCCAUCUGUAUACAUGUCCAGAUUCACUGUUAUGUUUCUAUUCUUACAUUGCUGUGUGAUCACUGUUCCCUCUGCUGACUGAUGUGACCUUUUGUAUCUCACACUGAUACUUGUCAUAUUUGUAUCUGCGCCUAAAAGAUAAAAAGUUUUCCAUGCUAAAACACAGCUCCACCUCCUGCAGUUCUCCCUCUGAACCACUAGAUGUCUCUGUUAUCUAAAUGAAGACGUGCAGCACAGCAACCACAGCAGCGCUCAGAUCACACGUGUCCUGUUAUUAUGUAUAAAAGCAUGAAACAGGUGAGACAGGUGGGAUCAAUAUUAAUGUUGUGGAAAUAUAUGAAAAAGCAACAGAAGAGUGAAAACAUUUCCUGUUUCUAGAAAGAUCUUUCAGCUCACAGCUGCUCACAGACUGUAUUUACAAGUGACAAACUGCAACUCUACAGUACAUCUACAGUAUAUAUCAAAUAUAUUCUGUAUUCAAAUCUAUUGAGUGAUGUUUGAAAGUCUUUCCAGGUGAGUUUGAUCCAGGAGGGUCUGAAGCCAGAGUCAGACAGAGACUGUGCAGAGACUGUAGAAGGACAGAGCAGCAGCAGAGCAGUCCAGAUACACUGAUGAUCCUCUGUCAGAUCCAGAGGGACACACAGGGAUGAUGCUGGACUCUACAUUGUGUCUGACAGUGGAGCUGUUCUCAGAGCAGUUCACUCUGCAGCACUGACAGUCAUCUGCACUUCUUCUCAUUCCUCUGUCAGUCACUGCUGGAUGAAGCUCUCCUCUCCACCUCCCAGUAACAUGGCCCAGUCAGAGCGUCUCUACACACAAGCUGCUGCUGCUUCAACCUCUCUGGAUCAUCAGGACACAGCUCCUCCUCUCUCAGCACACACACCGUCCUGUUUACCAUCAUCAGCUCCACCUGCAGAGAGAAGAAGGAAGAGCAGAGGAGAUAAACGAGUGUUUCCAGAGACUCUUCAUCAG